rnacentral:lncRNA from 1 species
CCCAGCUCUGACAUUUUAUGUUCUAAGGUCCCUCCCAGUUCUGACAUUCUGGAUUCUAAAGGCCCCCACUUGGCUCUGACAUUCUCUGUUCUAAGCUCCCUCCCAGCUCUGACAUUCCCUGUUCUAAGGUCUCUCCCAGCUCUGACAUUCUCAGUGGAAAGCUCCUUGGAACAUAGAAUGCCAAAGCUGGGAGGAUCCCAGCUCUGACAUUCCCUGUUCUAAGGUCUCUCCCAGCUCUGACAUUCCCUGUUCUAAGGUCUCUCCCAGCUCUGACAUUCUGUGUUCUAAGGACUCUCCCAGCUCUGACAUUCCCUGUUCUAAGCUCUCUCCCAGCUCUGACAUUCUCUGUUCUAAGGUCUCUCCCAGCUCUGACAUUCCCUGUUCUAAGCUCUCUCCCAGCUCUGACAGUCUCUGUUCUAAGGUCUCUCCCAGCUCUGACAAUCUCUGUUCUAAGGUCUCUCCCAGCUCUGACAUUCCCUGUUCUAAGCUCUCUCCCAGCUCUGACAUUCUCUGUUCUAAGGACUCUCCCAGCUCUGACAUUCCCUGUUCUAAGCUCUCUCCCAGCUCUGACAUUCUCUGUUCUAAGGUCCCUCCCAGCUCUGACAUUAUCUGUUCUAAGGUCUCUCCCAGCUCUGACAUUCUCUGUUCUAAGGUCCCUCCCAGCUCUGACAUUCUCUGUUCUAAGGUCUCUCCCAGCUCUGACAUUGUCUGUUCUAAGGUCUCUCCCAGCUCUGACAUUGUCUGUUCUAAGGUCUCUCCCAGCUCUGACAUUCUCUGUUCUAAGGUCUCUCCCAGCUCUGACAUUCUCUGUUCUAAGGUCUCUCCCAGCUCUGACAUUCUCUAUUCUAAGCUCUCUCCCAGCUCUGACAUAUUCUUCUCUAAGGUCUCUCCCAGCUCUGACAUUCUCUGUUCUAAGCUCUCUCCCAGCUCUGACAUUCUCUCUUCUAAGCUAUCUCCCACAGACAGACAGAUAG